rnacentral:lncRNA from 1 species
CAGGGGAACCCAUUCCUUGGACCACUCAGGAUUCGAGCUAUGAGAUAGAAUCCAAGACCAAGAGACAAGAGGAGUCUAAGUCAGAGACACAUCUGAUUUUAUGGGACAGGACUCAUAAAAUCUUGGUCCCUGAGAAGAAGCACUUCAUGGAGAAGAGUUGGCUCAAGAUGUACCAACAAAGAUUAUGCUUCCCACCUUUUCCAGAGCCAUAGCAGGG